rnacentral:SRP_RNA from 1 species
UCCCCCACGGUCACCGUGCAGGUCACGGCCAAGGGAGCGGACGACGACGACCAAGUCGCCGCCGCCGCAGCCAACGCGACGUCCUUCCCGCUGCCGACCAAAGCCAUCGACAUCCGGCUCAAGG